AGAGUUUGAUCCUGGCUCAGGACGAACGCUAGCGACGUGCCUAAGAAAUGCAAGUCGUGCGAGGUUAGAGACUUCGGUUUCAAAGCCUAGCGGCGAACGGUCGCGUAACACGUAAGCAACCUGCCUCAAAGUGGGGGAUAGCCCUCCGAAAGGGGGAUUAAUACCGCAUGUGGAAUAUCUAUGCAUGUAGAUAUAUCUAAAGCAGUGAUGCGCUUUGAGAUGGGCUUGCGGCCUAUCAGCUAGUUGGUGAGGUAACGGCUCACCAAGGCGACGACGGGUAGCUGGUCUGAGAGGAUGGUCAGCCGGACUGGGACUGAGACACGGCCCAGACUCCUACGGGGGGCAGCAAUUAGGAAUCUUGCGCAAUGGGCGAAAGCCUGACGCAGCGACGUCGCGUGACCGAUGAAGUCUUUCGGGAUGUAAAGGUCUUUUGCAAGGGAAGAAGUGAGUGACGGUACCUUGCGAAUAAGCCCCGGCUAACUACGUGCCAGCAGCCGCGGUAAUACGUAGGGGGCGAGCGUUGUCCGAAUUCAUUGGGCGUAAAGCGCACGUAGGCGGACCAAUAAGUUGGGGGUGAAAUGCCGGAGCUCAACUCCGGAACUGCCUUCAAAACUGUUGGUCUAGAGGUAUGGAGGGGGAAGUGGAAUUCCUGGUGUAGCGGUGAAAUGCGUAGAUAUCAGGAGGAACACCCGUGGCGAAGGCGGCUUCCUGGCCAUAUCCUGACGCU
rnacentral:rRNA from 1 species